AGUGAACGCUGGCGGUAGGCCUAACACAUGCAAGUCGAACGGCGGCACAGUAAGAGCUUGCUCUUACGGGUGGCGAGUGGCGGACGGGUGAGGAAUACAUCGGAAUCUACUUUUUCGUGGGGGAUAACGUAGGGAAACUUACGCUAAUACCGCAUACGACCUACGGGUGAAAGCAGGGGAUCUUCGGACCUUGCGCGAUUGAAUGAGCCGAUGUCGGAUUAGCUAGUUGGCGGGGUAAAGGCCCACCAAGGCGACGAUCCGUAGCUGGUCUGAGAGGAUGAUCAGCCACACUGGAACUGAGACACGGUCCAGACUCCACGGGAGGCGGCAGUGGGGAAUAUUGGACAAUGGGCGCAAGCCUGAUCCAGCCAUACCGCGUGGGUGAAGAAGGCCUUCGGGUUGUAAAGCCCUUUUGUUGGGAAAGAAAAGCAGCAGGUUAAUACCCCGCUGUUCUGACGGUACCCAAAGAAUAAGCACCGGCUAACUUCGUG
rnacentral:rRNA from 1 species